rnacentral:rRNA from 1 species
AAGGAAUAUUGGUCAAUGGACGCAAGUCUGAACCAGCCAUGCCGCGUGAAGGAUGAAGGUCCUCUGGAUUGUAAACUUCUUUUAUCUGGGACGAAAACGGGAUUUUUAUCUCAAUUGACGGUACCAGAGGAAUAAGCACCGGCUAACUCCGUGCCAGCAGCCGCGGUAAUACGGAGGGUGCGAGCGUUAUCCGGAUUUACUGGGUUUAAAGGGUGCGUAGGUGGGCUUAUAAGUCAGUGGUGAAAUCUCCGAGCUUAACUUGGAAACUGCCGUUGAUACUAUAGGUCUUGAAUUAUCUGGAGGUAAGCGGAAUAUGUCAUGUAGCGGUGAAAUGCUUAGAUAUGACAUAGAACACCAAUUGCGAAGGCAGCUUACUACAUAUAAAUUGACGCUGAGGCACGAAAGCGUGG